AAGGGCCCCCAAACACUGAAUAUAAGGCAUGAGUGAAUGCUGUGUGUCUGUUUUUACGAAUAUUGUACAACUACCUCACAAUAAAUUUAUCUCAUUUGUCAUUUUGUUUUUAAUUGUCCUAUUUUUAACCAUGUAGAGAGAAGCCUGAUGUUGGAAAAUGUUACUUUCUGGAUCUCUGAGACUGCCGCUUCUUGGGAGGAUUCUGCCUCCUGUCUGGAGAGAGCGGCCGCAGAUGAAAAGUCGGUCUGGGCUGCAACUGCCGGAGGCUGCCUUUCAAGAUACAUUCUGCAAACAUCCACUCUGAUUUCCUAAACAUUAAAUAGAGCUUUACAGUCAAUUCUCCUCUACGAAAGUUACACUUUUGAGUAUGUUUACCUACUUGUACAAAAUGGGGAAACUGAGGCACCAUGUUAUAUUCAAUUAUACUACCAGGGAUUCCUU
rnacentral:lncRNA from 1 species